GGGCCUGUAGCUUAGUUGGUAAAGCGUUGCAUUCGCAUUGCAAAGACCAGCGGUUCGAAUCCGCUCAGGUCCACCA
rnacentral:tRNA from 2 species